rnacentral:rRNA from 1 species
AACGCGAAGAACCUUACCUGGAUUUGACAUCCUCUGACAGUUCCGGAACGGAAUUUUCCGACUUGUCGGAACAGAGUGACAGGUGCUGCAUGGCUGUCGUCAGCUCGUGUCGUGAGAUGUUCGGGUUAAGUCCCGCAACGAGCGCAACCCCUGCUUUAAUUGCCAGUAUUCAGUUAGGCACUCUAAAGAUACUGCCUCGGUUAACGGGGAGGAAGGUGGGGACGACGUCAAGUCCUCAUGGCCUUUAUAUCCAGGGCUACACACGUGCUACAAUGGGUCGUACAAAGGGUCGCCACUCCGCGAGGAGGAGCUAAUCCCAAAAAGCGGCUCUCAGUUCGGAUCGGAGUCUGCAACUCGACUCCGUGAAGUUGGAAUCGCUAGUAAUCGUGGAUCAGCAUGCCACGGUGAAUACGUUCCCGGGCCUU